rnacentral:rRNA from 1 species
GCAAGUCGAGCGGACAGAUGGGAGCUUGCUCCCUGAUGUUAGCGGCGGACGGGUGAGUAACACGUGGGUAACCUGCCUGUAAGACUGGGAUAACUCCGGGAAACCGGGGCUAAUACCGGAUGCUUGUUUGAACCGCAUGGUUCAAACAUAAAAGGUGGCUUCGGCUACCACUUACAGAUGGACCCGCGGCGCAUUAGCUAGUUGGUGAGGUAAUGGCUCACCAAGGCAACGAUGCGUAGCCGACCUGAGAGGGUGAUCGGCCACACUGGGACUGAGACACGGCCCAGACUCCUACGGGAGGCAGCAGUAGGGAAUCUUCCGCAAUGGACGAAAGUCUGACGGAGCAACGCCGCGUGAGUGAUGAAGGUUUUCGGAUCGUAAAGCUCUGUUGUUAGGGAAGAACAAGUACCGUUCGAAUAGGGCGGUACCUUGACGGUACCUAACCAGAAAGCCACGGCUAACUACGUGCCAGCAGCCGCGGUAAUACGUAGGUGGCAAGCGUUGUCCGGAAUUAUUGGGCGUAAAGGGCUCGCAGGCGGUUUCUUAAGUCUGAUGUGAAAGCCCCCGGCUCAACCGGGGAGGGUCAUUGGAAACUGGGGAACUUGAGUGCAGAAGAGGAGAGUGGAAUUCCACGUGUAGCGGUGAAAUGCGUAGAGAUGUGGAGGAACACCAGUGGCGAAGGCGACUCUCUGGUCUGUAACUGACGCUGAGGAGCGAAAGCGUGGGGAGCGAACAGGAUUAGAUACCCUGGUAGUCCACGCCGUAACGAUGAGUGCUAAGUGUUAGGGGUUUCCGCCCCUUAGUGCUGCAGCUAACGCAUUAGCACUCCGCCUGGGGA